rnacentral:lncRNA from 1 species
ACCAGGCUUAGGCACCACAGCCAACAUGGAGGGAGAAAAGAGACUGGAGAAAGUGACGUCAACAGCAAUACCCCUAGUUGGUCUGCUCCCCUGAAGACUUCAUAUACCGAUACAUCCCAGAGGACCUGCUGCACUCAGAGCAGUUGGUAAGAACACUUCCCCCUCCGCCACCCCUGACCCCAGUCCCAGAGUUGCUGCUGGGAGCCUGGUGGAUUCAGGACCCAUCACCCACCAAAACACCCGUCCUCCCGAAUACUACUCUUAUUCCUUCCAUCCCUCCCACUCCUUCCUCCUGGUCCUUGCUGCUGGGGCAGACCCCUAAUUGGUCUGCUCCCCUGAAGACUCCAUAUCCUAACACAUCCCAGAGGACCUGCUGCACUCAGAGCAGUGGAGAACCCUCUGCACUCAGAGAAGUUGAGGAUCAGUUGCACUCAGUGCAGUUGGACAACAGCUUGACUGCUCCAUGGAAGACCCAACAGUCUGAAGACCUCCCAGGAGAUCUACUGCAGCCAGGGCAACAGAUCAGCAGCUUCUCUGCCCCAUGAAGAGCCCUCAGUAGGAAGGCCCCACAGGUGGUCUGAUACAGCCAGGGCUGCAAGCCUACCAUGAGACCUGAAGCUACCCAGAUACAAAAGAGGCAGACUUCAUACAGUCAACAAAAACCAGGGAUACAGAUAUAGCUGUCUCUUGUGAGACUAUGCC